CAUGCAAGUCGAGCGGCAGCGCGGGGGCAACCCUGGCGGCGAGCGGCGGACGGGUGAGUAAUGCAUCGGAACGUGUCCUCUUGUGGGGGAUAACCAGUCGAAAGACUGGCUAAUACCGCAUGAGCUCGUAAGAGGAAAGCAGGGGACCCGCAAGGGCCUCGCGCGAGAGGAGCGGCCGAUGCCCGAUUAGCUAGUUGGUGGGGUAAAAGCCCACCAAGGCGACGAUCGGUAGCUGGUCUGAGAGGACGACCAGCCACACUGGGACUGAGACACGGCCCAGACUCCUACGGGAGGCAGCAGUGGGGAAUUUUGGACAAUGGGGGAAACCCUGAUCCAGCCAUGCCGCGUGUGUGAAGAAGGCCUUCGGGUUGUAAAGCACUUUCGGACGGAACGAAAUCGCGCGAUCUAAUAAAUCGCGUGGAUGACGGUACCGUAAGAAGAAGCACCGGCUAACUACGUGCCAGCAGCCGCGGUAAUACGUAGGGUGCGAGCGUUAAUCGGAAUUACUGGGCGUAAAGUGUGCGCAGGCGGCGUUGCAAGUCGAGUGUGAAAGCCCCGGGCUUAACUUGGGAAUUGCGCUCGAAACUACGAUGCUGGAGUGUGGCAGAGGAAGGUGGAAUUCCACGUGUAGCGGUGAAAUGCGUAGAGAUGUGGAGGAACACCGA
rnacentral:rRNA from 1 species